rnacentral:rRNA from 1 species
ACGUGCCAUAGGAUGGGCCGGCGGUUGAUUAGGCUGUUGGUGGGGUAACGGCCCACCAAACCAAAGAUCAAUACGGGCCUUGAGAGAGGUAGCCCGGAGAGGGACACUGAGAUACGGGUCCCAGCCCCACGGGGUGCAGCAGGCGCGAAACCUUUACAAUGCACGAAAGUGUGAUAGGGGGAUACUCAGUGCUUACGCUUAUGGUGUAGGCUUUUAUCGAUCGUAAAUAGAUCGGCGAAUAAGUGGUGGGUAAGACUGGUGCCAGCCGCCGCGGUAACCCCAGCGCCACAAGUGGUUAUCACGAUUAUUGGGCCUAAAGCGUUCGUAGCUGGUUUGGUAAAUCUCUUGUGAAAUUGUUCGGCUUAACCGGACAGCGUGCAGGAGAGACUGCCAAACUCGAGACCGGGAGGGGUUAGAAGUAUUCCAUGGGGACUGGUAAAAUGGGAUAAUCCAUGGAAGACUACCGAUGGCGAAGGCAUCU